GACGAACGCUGGCGGCGUGCUUAACACAUGCAAGUCGAACGGAAAGGCCCUGCUUUUGUGGGGUGCUCGAGUGGCGAACGGGUGAGUAACACGUGAGUAACCUGCCCUUGACUUUGGGAUAACUUCAGGAAACUGGGGCUAAUACCGGAUAGCAGCUCCUGCUGCAUGGUGGGGGUUGGAAAGUUUCGGCGGUUGGGGAUGGACUCGCGGCUUAUCAGCUUGUUGGUGGGGUAGUGGCUUACCAAGGCUUUGACGGGUAGCCGGCCUGAGAGGGUGACCGGCCACAUUAGGACUGAGAUACGGCCCAGACUCCUACGGGAGGCAGCAGUGGGGAAUAUUGCACAAUGAGCGGAAGCCUGAUGCAGCAGCGCCGCGUGCGGGAUGACGGCCUUCGGGUUAUAAACCGCUUUCGCCUGUGACGAAGCGUGAGUGACGGUAAUGGGUAAAGAAGCACCGGCUAACUACGUG
rnacentral:rRNA from 1 species